AAGAAAUUAGGAAAAAGAAACCAAGUAAAGAAAAUGUAUGCUGUGUCUCUACUACAACCAUGGAUAUAAAAAAUGAUGUAAAAUUGAAGGGCCAUCUUAUUGUCAAAAUUUUAGUUAGCAAUGCCUGUUUCCUAUUUGUGAAGUGCCAUGGUGAUCGACAUAAAGUAAAUAAAGGAAUUCAAAUGCUACAUAAACAUGCUAAAUGCUACAUAAACGUGCUAAGAAAAGGAAAGCUCCUUUUGGAGAUCUGAAGAAUGAAAUCCCAGAACUAUGAACUCGAUGACAAGCAUGAUUCAAACUUAAAUGAUUGCAUCACAUGAGUCUCAGUACUAAUUUCAGUUACUAGUGAAGAAGUUGGGGCUUCAACCUGUCAUAUAGUUAGUUAUCUUCAAUAAACUGUCACCAUAAUCUCUUAUAGUUGUUGUUG
rnacentral:lncRNA from 1 species